rnacentral:pre_miRNA from 2 species
GUGACAGAAGAGAGUGAGCACACAUGGUACUUUCGUGUAUGAUGUUUCAUUCUCGAAGCUAUGUGUGCUCACUCUCUAUCUGUCAC